AGCUUUGCACAGUGGCAGUAUCGUAGCCAAUGAGGUUUAUCCGAGGCACGAUUAUUGCUAAUUGAAAGUUAACAUUAGCAGUCCCAGAAUUUUAAAAAUAAUUUUCUGUUU
ensembl:snRNA U4 U4 spliceosomal RNA